rnacentral:rRNA from 1 species
UGAGGAAUUUUGCGCAAUGGGGGAAACCCUGACGCAGCAACGCCGCGUGGGUGAUGAAGGCCUUCGGGUUGUAAAGCGCUUUUUGAGAGGAUGAGGAAGGACAGUACUCUUAGAAUAAGCCUCGGCUAACUACGUGCCAGCAGCCGCGGUAAAACGUAGGAGGCGAGCGUUAUCCGGAUUUACUGGGCGUAAAGCGUGUGUAGGCGGUUUGAUAAGUUUGAUGUGAAAGCUCCUGGCUUAACUGGGAGAGGUCGUUCAAAACUAUCAGACUUGAGAGUGGUAGAGGGAGGUGGAAUUCCGCAUGUAGUGGUGAAAUGCGUAGAUAUGCGGAGGAACACCAGUGGCGAAAGCGGCCUCCUGGACCAUUCCUGACACUCAGACGCGAAAGCUAGGGUAGCAAACG